AACGUAGGUGGCAAGCGUUAUCCGGAAUUACUGGGCGUAAAGGGUGCGUAGGCGGGUCUUUAAGUCAGGGGUGAAAUCCUGGAGCUCAACUCCAGAACUGCCUUUGAUACUGAAGAUCUUGAGUUCGGGAGAGGUGAGUGGAACUGCGAGUGUAGAGGUGAAAUUCGUAGAUAUUCGCAAGAACACCAGUGGCGAAGGCGGCUCACUGGCCCGAUACUGACGCUGAGGAGCGAAAGCGUGGGGAGCGAACAGG
rnacentral:rRNA from 1 species